rnacentral:lncRNA from 1 species
CAGGGGGCUGGUGGCACGUCGUCCUCAAUCUUGACACCACCAUUGCCAUCACCCAGAACUUUGCCAGCAGCACCAACUUCCCUGUUGUGUGGCACAAGACGGUAAGAGGGCGGCCAAAGUUAUCCAGGAAGUGGUAUAGGAUCUUGAAGCAGGAGCACCCUGAGCUGGCAGUGCUUGCCGACGCUGUUGACCUCCAAGAGUCCACAGGCAUCGCCUCUGACAGCUCCAGUGACUCUUCUAGCUCCUCCAGCUCCAGCUCGUCGGACUCAGACUCGGAGUGUGAAUCUGGGUCAGAAGGUGAUGGGACAACACAUCGCAGGAAGAAGAGGAGAACUUGCAGCAUGGUGGGAAAUGGGGACACUACCUCACAGGAUGACUGCGUGAGCAAAGAGCGCAGUUCCUCCAGGUGACCACAUGUGGCCGCUGUCUGUGCAAGGCUGUGCUUGCAGCAAGGCUUAGGAGGGCUGACACCCAGAGAACAAGGACACUGAGAUGGGAGUUGGUAGCAUUUGGUACAGUGGCUUUUCUCCAUGGUCAUAUCUUAGGGGCAAAGGUGUGUGGAUGGUGCCAACGAAACCCUUUACCUAUUUAAUAAAGACGAAUACAUUUUA